rnacentral:rRNA from 1 species
UACGUAGGGUGCAAGCGUUGUUCGGAAUCAUUGGGCGUAAAGCGCGUGUAGGUGGUUAAGUAAGUCGGGUGUGAAAGCCCUCGGCUCAACCGAGGAAGUGCAUCCGAAACUACUUAGCUAGAGGACGGUAGAGGAAGGUGGAAUUCCAAGUGUAGAGGUGAAAUUCGUAGAUAUUUGGAGGAAUACCGGUGGCGAAGGCGGCCUUCUGGGCCGUUCCUGACACUGAGACGCGAAAGCGUGGGUAGCAAACAGG